GGGGCUAUGGCCAAAUGGAUAAGGCGCCUGACUACGAAUCAGGAGAUUCCAGGUUCGACCCCUGGUAGCCUCG
rfam:Lichtheimia corymbifera JMRC:FST:9682, FST 9682, WGS project CBTN01000000 data, contig: SCAF00056